rnacentral:rRNA from 1 species
UACGAAGGGGGCUAGCGUUGUUCGGAUUUACUGGGCGUAAAGCGCGCGUAGGCGGCUACUUAUGUCGGAUGUGAAAGCCCUUGGCUCAACUGAGGAAGUGCACCCGAAACUGAGUAGCUGGAGUACGAAAGAGGGUCGCGGAAUUCCCGGUGUAGAGGUGAAAUUCGUAGAUAUCGGGAGGAACACCGGUGGCGAAGGCGGCGACCUGGGUCGAUACUGACGCUGAGGCGCGAAAGCGUGGGGAGCAAACAGG